AGUGAACGCUGGCGGUAGGCCUAACACAUGCAAGUCGAACGGCAGCACAGUAAGAGCUUGCUCUUACGGGUGGCGAGUGGCGGACGGGUGAGGAAUACAUCGGAAUCUACUUUUUCGUGGGGGAUAACGUAGGGAAACUUACGCUAAUACCGCAUACGACCUACGGGUGAAAGCAGGGGAUCUUCGGACCUUGCGCGAUUGAAUGAGCCGAUGUCGGAUUAGCUAGUUGGCGGGGUAAAGGCCCACCAAGGCGACGAUCCUAGCUGGUCUGAGAGGAUGAUCAGCCACACUGGAACUGAGACACGGUCCAGACUCCUACGGGAGGCAGCAGUGGGGAAUAUUGGACAAUGGGCGCAAGCCUGAUCCAGCCAUACCGCGUGGGUGAAGAAGGCCUUCGGGUUGUAAAGCCCUUUUGUUGGGAAAGAAAAGCAGCAGGUUAAUACCCCGCUGUUCUGACGGUACCCAAAGAAUAAGCACCGGCUAACUUCGUG
rnacentral:rRNA from 1 species